AUCGAACAGGGACAUUCAGCGCAGGAGGCACGGUUAUGUUUUUCGACAAUGUGGUAGUGGCCGGAGUCGUAACCGUGGGCCUGAUGCUGGUGUUCUUCGCAGGCUUCGGACUAUUCAUCUGGAAGGACUCGAAAAAACGCAAAUAAGGCAGAGGCCUUCCAAUAAAAAGAGCACGCAAGGCAUUUUGGGCGACUUCGGUCGCCUUUUUUUUGU
rnacentral:sRNA from 1 species